CCCUUCUCUAAACAUAAUGCUUGUGUUUCAAGCGUGCCUUUUGCUACUCUCAUCUGCCUGUUCAUCAUUUCCUUCAUAUCUCAAGCCUAAUUUCAGGUUCCUUCCUUUCUUGAACAACAAUCCUUCGCAUCUUUUACAAUGGUAUUCCUUCAUAUCUUGAGUCUAAUUUUCUAGAUCAUGGACGCAUGAACCUUUCAGGAAGGAAAGUCACAUUAGAGAAACAUGAGCAGAACUGAACACAUGGAUUAGAUCUAACCACAGUGACAAAUUGCUUCGAUAUAUGCAUGCAGGUGAUGAGCGAUGAGUUGGAGUUGUUGGCCUUGGCACGUGCGGCCAAACCGAGGGAUCCCACGGUUGUCAAUUGCUGUGCUGGCGUUGUCUGUCUUUGGGUCCUAGUCCUAGGCCAGUUUCCAAACAUGGCGUCCCGGAACGGCGGAACCCCACACCAGCUGCACAUGAAAGU
rnacentral:lncRNA from 1 species